rnacentral:lncRNA from 1 species
AAGUGGUUGAGUCACUAUCUUCAAUUAGUGUUCUAAAAAACAAGGGGAUUGUGCAUGUCAGCACUUGCUUGGGUUACUUCUGAACAGCAAUAUUGCUAGAGUUCAUUUGGCUUAUCACAAAUGAGUGCACAGAUCUCAAGAAAGUAUGCCUAAUGAAGGAAAGAACUCAGGGAAUGAGAGGGGUGAAAGAAGAAGGAAGAGGAGCGUGAGGAGCACAGACCUGAAAACAGCAAGAGGGGCACUUGGCUGAAAUUCUGAUUGUUUCAGGUUAAUCAGCAAGAUGUUCUGUGGACCACAUUAAUGGCUUCAACCUCCAAAGUACA